GCUGGGCGGGGUGGCUCACGCCUGUAAUCCUAGCACUUUGGGAGGCCGAGGUGGGCGGAUCACCUGAGGUCAGGAGUUCGAGACCAGCCUGACCAACAUGGUGAAACCCCAUCUCUA
rfam:Homo sapiens chromosome 20, GRCh38 reference primary assembly.